UUACGGUCACAUCGCGUUCAAAAGACUGCUUCCCGUACGAUCACUGAAGUUAAGCAACGUCGAGCCUGGCCGGUACCUAGAUAGGUGACCGCUUGGGAAAACCAAGUGCUGUAAG